CCUCCCUGUCAAUGAGCAAGGCACAGCUUUGUUGGUGGUGGUGUUCUUAUAUCAGUCAGGGACAAAGCAGGUGGCAGUCCUUUCUUUAUCCUAGCUUGAUGCAUGGCUGGGCCAAAGCUGUCUUAUGCCUAGGACUCAUAA